AGUGAACGCUGGCGGUAGGCCUAACACAUGCAAGUCGAACGGCAGCACAGUAAGAGCUUGCUCUUACGGGUGGCGAGUGGCGGACGGGUGAGGAAUACAUCGGAAUCUACUUUUUCGUGGGGGAUAACGUAGGGAAACUUACGCUAAUACCGCAUACGACCUACGGGUGAAAGCAGGGGAUCUUCGGACCUUGCGCGAUUGAAUGAGCCGAUGUCGGAUUAGCUAGUUGGCGGGGUAAAGGCCCACCAAGGCGACGAUCGGUAGCUGGUCUGAGAGGAUGGGCAGACACACGGUGAGUGAGACAAGGCACAGACUCCGACGGGAGGCAGCAGUGGGGAAUUUUGGACAAUGGGCGCAAGCUUGAUCCAGCCAUGCCGCGUGCGGGAAGAAGGACUUCGGGUUGUAAACCGCUUUUGUCAGGGAAGAAAAGGUUCUGGCUACUACCUGGGACUCAUGACGGUACCUGAAGAAUAAGAACCGGCUAACUACGUG
rnacentral:rRNA from 1 species